rnacentral:rRNA from 1 species
GGGUUGUGAGGUUAAGCGACUAAGCGUACACGGUGGAUGCCCUGGCAGUCAGAGGCGAUGAAGGGCGUACUAAUCUGCGAUAAGCGCCGGUAAGGUGAUAUGAACCGUUAUAACCGGCGAUACCCGAAUGGGGAAACCCAGUGUGAUUCGUCACACUAUCAUUAACUGAAUCCAUAGGUUAAUGAGGCGAACCGGGGGAACUGAAACAUCUAAGUACCCCGAGGAAAAGAAAUCAACCGAGAUUCCCCCAGUAGCGGCGAGCGAACGGGGAGGAGCCCAGAGCCUGAAUCAGCAUGUGUGUUAGUGGAAGCGUCUGGAAAGGCGCGCGAUACAGGGUGACAGCCCCGUACACAAAAGCGCAUGUGCUGUGAGCUCGAUGAGUAGGGCGGGACACGUGGUAUCCUGUCUGAAUAUGGGGGGACCAUCCUCCAAGGCUAAAUACUCCUGACUGACCGAUAGUGAACCAGUACCGUGAGGGAAAGGCGAAAAGAACCCCGGCGAGGGGAGUGAAAAAGAACCUGAAACCGUGUACGUACAAGCAGUGGGAGCACUGUGUGACUGCGUACCUUUUGUAUAAUGGGUCAGCGACUUAUAUUCUGUAGCAAGGUUAACCGAAUAGGGGAGCCGGAGGGAAACCGAGUCUUAAUUGGGCGUUAAGUUGCAGGGUAUAGACCCGAAACCCGGUGAUCUAGCCAUGGGCAGGUUGAAGGUUGGGUAACACUAACUGGAGGACCGAACCGACUAAUGUUGAAAAAUUAGCGGAUGACCUGUGGCUGGGGGUGAAAGGCCAAUCAAACCGGGAGAUAGCUGGUUCUCCCCGAAAGCUAUUUAGGUAGCGCCUCGUGAAUUCAUCUCCGGGGGUAGAGCACUGUUUCGGCUAGGGGGCCAUCCCGGCUUACCAACCCGAUGCAAACUGCGAAUACCGGAGAAUGUUAUCACGGGAGACACACGGCGGGUGCUAACGUCCGUCGUGAAGAGGGAAACAACCCAGACCGCCAGCUAAGGUCCCAAAGUCAUGGUUAAGUGGGAAACGAUGUGGGAAGGCCCAGACAGCCAGGAUGUUGGCUUAGAAGCAGCCAUCAUUUAAAGAAAGCGUAAUAGCUCACUGGUCGAGUCGGCCUGCGCGGAAGAUGUAACGGGGCUAAACCAUGCACCGAAGCUGCGGCAGCGACGCUUAUGCGUUGUUGGGUAGGGGAGCGUUCUGUAAGCCUGCGAAGGUGGCCUGUGAGGGUUGCUGGAGGUAUCAGAAGUGCGAAUGCUGACAUAAGUAACGAUAAAGCGGGUGAAAAGCCCGCUCGCCGGAAGACCAAGGGUUCCUGUCCAACGUUAAUCGGGGCAGGGUGAGUCGACCCCUAAGGCGAGGCCGAAAGGCGUAGUCGAUGGGAAACGGGUUAAUAUUCCCGUACUUGGUGUUACUGCGAAGGGGGGACGGAGAAGGCUAUGUUGGCCGGGCGACGGUUGUCCCGGUUUAAGCGUGUAGGUGUGUGUUCCAGGUAAAUCCGGUUCACUUUAACACUGAGGCGUGACGACGAGGCACUACGGUGCUGAAGCAACAAAUGCCCUGCUUCCAGGAAAAGCCUCUAAGCAUCAGGUAACAUCAAAUCGUACCCCAAACCGACACAGGUGGUCAGGUAGAGAAUACCAAGGCGCUUGAGAGAACUCGGGUGAAGGAACUAGGCAAAAUGGUGCCGUAACUUCGGGAGAAGGCACGCUGACACGUAGGUGAAGUGAUUUACUCAUGGAGCUGAAGUCAGUCGAAGAUACCAGCUGGCUGCAACUGUUUAUUAAAAACACAGCACUGUGCAAACACGAAAGUGGACGUAUACGGUGUGACGCCUGCCCGGUGCCGGAAGGUUAAUUGAUGGGGUCAGCGCAAGCGAAGCUCCUGAUCGAAGCCCCGGUAAACGGCGGCCGUAACUAUAACGGUCCUAAGGUAGCGAAAUUCCUUGUCGGGUAAGUUCCGACCUGCACGAAUGGCGUAAUGAUGGCCAGGCUGUCUCCACCCGAGACUCAGUGAAAUUGAACUCGCUGUGAAGAUGCAGUGUACCCGCGGCAAGACGGAAAGACCCCGUGAACCUUUACUAUAGCUUGACACUGAACAUUGAGCCUUGAUGUGUAGGAUAGGUGGGAGGCUUUGAAGUGUGGACGCCAGUCUGCAUGGAGCCGACCUUGAAAUACCACCCUUUAAUGUUUGAUGUUCUAACGUGGACCCGUUACCCGGGUUGCGGACAGUGUCUGGUGGGUAGUUUGACUGGGGCGGUCUCCUCCUAAAGAGUAACGGAGGAGCACGAAGGUUGGCUAAUCCUGGUCGGACAUCAGGAGGUUAGUGCAAUGGCAUAAGCCAGCUUGACUGCGAGCGUGACGGCGCGAGCAGGUGCGAAAGCAGGUCAUAGUGAUCCGGUGGUUCUGAAUGGAAGGGCCAUCGCUCAACGGAUAAAAGGUACUCCGGGGAUAACAGGCUGAUACCGCCCAAGAGUUCAUAUCGACGGCGGUGUUUGGCACCUCGAUGUCGGCUCAUCACAUCUGGGGCUGAAGUAGGUCCCAAGGGUAUGGCUGUUCGCCAUUUAAAGUGGUACGCGAGCUGGGUUUAGAACGUCGUGAGACAGUUCGGUCCCUAUCUGCCGUGGGCGCUGGAGAACUGAGGGGGGCUGCUCCUAGUACGAGAGGACCGGAGUGGACGCAUCACUGGUGUUCGGGUUGUCAUGCCAAUGGCACUGCCCGGUAGCUAAAUGCGGAAGAGAUAAGUGCUGAAAGCAUCUAAGCACGAAACUUGCCCCGAGAUGAGUUCUCCCUGAGACUUAAAGUCUCCUGAAGGAACGUUGAAGACGACGACGUUGAUAGGCCGGGUGUGUAAGCGCAGCGAUGCGUUGAGCUAACCGGUACUAAUGAACCGUGAGGCUUAACCUUACAACGCCGAAG